AUGAAGGUCCUGCCCUGGUCCCUGAUUGGUCCAUUUCUAUGCAAAUGAGGAAUCCAUAUUUGCAGUCUGAUUGGUCCCAAAAGCACUGUCCUGAUUGGUGGAUAUUGUGCAUUCUGAUCGGUUGCUAUGGAGCUGCUCCUCUUGGUUAGUAAAGAUGCAAAUGAGGCUAUAGCUCUGCAGCUCUCAUUGGAUGGGGCAGAUGUCAGCCCAUUGGUUGAAACAGGAUUCCAGGAACUCCCUUAAAAGCCGGGCUCAGCUGGCAGGAGCACAGAGCAGGAGGCUGGCAGCUCUGUCUGGCUUUUCCCUGAAAUGCAUCCUGCAUCCAAGGCGUCUGCAAAGAGUGACUGCUAGAUUCUGGUUUUGAAUGAAUUUGGGCCCCACGAACCACAAGGGGUCCUCCUGGGCAGCCACCCGAGCUGCUACAGGUAUGAACAAGCUUUAAAUAUGGACCCUGGCCAGCUAACGAUGCUCGUCUGUGGAGACAGCCACACAGGCACGUCCUUUUGCCAGUCCGGCAAGCGACACCGCUCCACGCUCCUCUCUCUGCCAAAUGACAGAAAAACGGUAACACCCGAUAGAGACGCGACUGAGCUCUCGGGUGAGGAACGCCGCCCCCCUGCACCCGGACCCCCUGCACCUGGACCGGACCAGCCCAGCUGCCGGACCCCAGAGGACAGCACCACAAGGAUCCCUAACUAAGCUUGUACCCACAGCUCAGGAAUUUGUGUGAGUAAUAAAAAAGCUGUGUGAUUUGCAAC